rnacentral:rRNA from 1 species
GACGAACGCUGGCGGCGUGCCUAACACAUGCAAGUCAACUUGACGGAAGGAGCAAUCUGACCGUAGAGUGGCGCAAGGGUGCGUAACGCGUAAGUAACUUGCCCCAAGGUAAGGAAUAACGUCGAGAAAUCGGCGCUAAUACCUCAUAAUGCAGCGGAUCCGCAUGGAUAUGUUGUUAAAGGUUUACCGCCUUGGGAUAGGCUUGCGUCUGAUUAGCUAGUUGGUGUGGUAACGGCACACCAAGGCUACGAUCAGUAACUGGUCUGAGAGGAUGAUCAGUCACACUGGAACUGAGACACGGUCCAGACUCCUACGGGAGGCAGCAGUGAGGAAUAUUGGGCAAUGCUCGAAAGAGUGACCCAGCAACGCCGCGUGGAGGAUGAAGGUAUUCUAUAUCGUAAACUCCUGUGAGAGCAGACGAAAGACAGAUUAUAAUCUGGAUGACUGUAUGCUCAGA